rnacentral:tmRNA from 15 species
ACGGGAUUUGCGAAACCCAAGGUGCAUGCCGAGGGGCGGUUGGCCUCGUAAAAAGCCGCAAAAAAUAGUCGCAAACGACGAAAACUACGCUUUAGCAGCUUAAUAACCUGCUUAGAGCCCUCUCUCCCUAGCCUCCGCUCUUAGGACGGGGAUCAAGAGAGGUCAAACCCAAAAGAGAUCGCGUGGAAGCCCUGCCUGGGGUUGAAGCGUUAAAACUUAAUCAGGCUAGUUUGUUAGUGGCGUGUCCGUCCGCAGCUGGCAAGCGAAUGUAAAGACUGACUAAGCAUGUAGUACCGAGGAUGUAGGAAUUUCGG